UACGGAGGGUGCGAGCGUUGUCCGGAAUCACUGGGCGUAAAGGGCGCGUAGGCGGCGCGGGCAGUCAACGGUGAAAGCUUGGGGCUCAACCCCGAGUCGGCCGUCGAUACUCCCGUGCUUGAGCACUGUAGAGGCAGGUGGAAUUCCGGGUGUAGCGGUGGAAUGCGUAGAGAUCCGGAAGAACACCGGUGGCGAAGGCGGCCUGCUGGGCAGUUACUGACACUGAGGCGCGAAAGCUAGGGGAGCAAACGGG
rnacentral:rRNA from 1 species